rnacentral:lncRNA from 1 species
GUUGUCUACUUUCUACUCGCAGUUGCCCAUUAUCACCUCUGCAUAAAGGUGAUCAUAGAUAUAUAAAAAAGCACCACAACAAUUAGCUCUGGCAAUAAAUUUACGACUUAAAUAAACAGCAGUGGAAACAAUGAAUAUAAAAAAAAAAAAAUCCAUCCAAGUACCUCAGGAAAACAAAAACAUCCCCUCCUGCAUUACUUAACGACUUGAAAGUCAGAAAUGCACUCUAGCCUGAUAAUUAUAUGUUAAUCCAAAGAAAUAGAACCAUUUAUUCAUUUCUCAAUGUGCUAUCGAUACCAGAAACAUACGACAAACGGCACAAAUGCAGAGAGAAAAUUACAAAGAAGGUGAAACAUCCGUCCUUGAGGAGCCAAAAGAGCACCUCACAAGUGAGAAGAUAUGAGAUCGUUAAAAAAAUUCAGAGUAAGGUAUGCCCGAUUUUGUUGCUAGUGUAACGUAGGAAAUGAAGAGAAAUCUUGAUGCAUUUUAGUGUAGUAAAUGGAAAGAAAAAUGAAACACCACAAUUGAAAAUGAUGCCAAGAAAACAUUUUUUGAUUAUCACCUUUACCAUACUUGGGAGUUGACCAACCAAACCAAUAUAACAGCACUUACUGCAAUCAAUUCCUGACAUAUUGGGAUGAUUUUCCAAUUUCUAGAAACCGAAACAAAAUAUAAUCUUAUUUUUUUUGUUUUUCUCCGCUCACUGACUGCCUGAAGAGGGGUUAUAAAAAUGAGAUGAAGUGCAAGAGGCCCUGAACUAUUGAUCUUCUGAUUGUUGUAUGAUAACAAAAUUGUUGCACAGUCCCUCCAUCCUAAUUUGUCUUUCCACAUUAUCAUUUUUGGAUGGCCCAAUAUAUUUUAUCCAUUUUGAAAAGUCAACUACCAAAAUGUUGUUAACUUCCCAGUUUGUCCUUUCACGUUUCAAUUGAUGUGACAUUUUUAUUUUUUUAGUUUUCGGUAAAUUUUAAAUUGUUGAACGGUAAUUUUGGAAAGUAAAAACUUUUAAAUGAAGACUCCUUAAAGAGUUGUUAACUUCCCAGUUUGUCCUUUCACGUUUCAAUUGAUGUGACAUUUUUAUUUUUUUAGUUUUCGGUAAAUUUUAAAUUGUUGAACGGUAAUUUUGGAAAGUAAAAACUUUUAAAUGAAGACUCCUUAAAGAGUUGUUAACUUCCCAGUUUGUCCUUUCACGUUUCAAUUGAUGUGACAUUUUUAUUUUUUUAGUUUUCGGUAAAUUUUAAAUUGUUGAACGGUAAUUUUGGAAAGUAAAAACUUUUAAAUGAAGACUCCUUAAAGAGUUGAAAUCUUCAUAAUAGACAAAAAAUAAUAUUGGGAUGGAGGGAAUACUAUGUUAAGUGAACUAAUGUUUAGUUAAGAAUUAUUAGUUUGCAGUUAUAAUGUAGAAAAUACUACCACUACCAGCUCAGCAGUUUCUGCAUUCUGGUUUUCUGUAUCACCAAGCCCCCUUGUAUCCAGCCGCUAAGGUAGAAUGACUGAUGGCCAACGAAAUGAAAGCCAAGCGGUCUGGCCAUCCAAGCAUAAGGAACUUAAAAACAAUAUCUCACUCAUAGCAGCAUCUACUUUAGCUCAAGGCUAUGGGGAGAUGGAACAUGGCUUCCUCAAUUUGGGAAUGGUUCUCUGAAUCUGUGUUUCAAAACAUGAUAGGAGACAACCAAGAUGCAGCAGCUCAAUCUAUUCCUUCUGAUUAUUCAUCUUAUGUGCGUCAAGGCCGAGCAAUAAUGUAUCACUUGAUAAUGUUAAGGGGAAAAGAUCUGAGGCUUCUAUUGACACUCAUACCCACGUCAUAACUGUAUGUAACAUGUAGUGUGGGGAAAUAGAGGAGUCCAUGUAGCAUUGUUAACAAUGUUAGACAAACUCAGAUCAGACCCAUAGUAGGUGACCUUGGCUAUAUUCCUUUAAGCAUUCAUUGCUGAAUAGAUUAUAAAUAAUAAAAAAGAAAGAGUCGAACAACAUGUUAAAGGUAUACUGGGUCAAUUCUUCUUACCUGUUGGAUACUUUGGGGGACAUAGGACCAUUGGUUUUUGCAGCAUAAAUACUUCUAGUUGUAUUUGGCAGGCAAUGGCUAUUCCUAUGUUCAGAUGACUGGUUUAAUGUAAGAAUUUAGUUUAUUGAAUGAAACAAGCAAAAUAACUACCAUACCUGGUCAUGUGAUAAAAAAUAUAGGUAGAUCUUCAACCAAUAUGCAGACAUUACAUCCAGUAAAAGAAUGUGGGCACGGCAUCCCUGGAUUUUACCCCAUUAAGCAAGCUAUACAAAACAUAGGUAGAUCUUCAACCAAUAUGCAGACAUUACAUCCAGUAAAAGGAUGUGGGCACGGCAUCCCUGGAUUACCCCAUUAAGCAAGCUAAACUUUUCAAAACCUGUCAAAUAACUAAGAACAUUUCUUCAUGUUUAUAUUUACUUUUUGACCAACAAACAAUUUACUUGUUCAGUAAAUACAUUAGCGAAGAAACAUCAUCAAAUCAAGUUCAAUAAAUGGAAAGAAUUUGGUUUUUCCGAUCAAACAAGAUCCUAUCUCAACCAUAUUAAUGCAACAGAUUUAUAAGUUUUAUUGUCAUAACAAUUACUAAAAAGUCCCGAGGAAAGGAGUUCGUCCUCUAAGCCAAGUAACCAUAGGCUGUCACCGCGGACAAUAUUUUACAAUUACACACAAGCAUGCACUUAAAUAAACCAAAUAUACUAUCUUGUUCUGUUUGCAGCCCUUAACCCAAGGCAAAAACAGGAAAGUCAUGUAUUUGUCACCUUAGAACACAUGACUUUUCUGUUAUGCGAGAAAAGGAAGGAGAUAACCCCACCCCACCCCCAAAAAUUAAAAAAUAUUAAUCAAGCACCGUUAAGGAGAGGCAAGAGGAAGAAAAUAGUUACUAAAACAAACAAAACAGACCGUGCAAGGAUACCCAAAAAAAUCAAGCAAAGUUAAAAGGGCUAGAGGGAGAACAUGGUUACCAAAAAAUAAUCCAAGAGAAUACUAGUCGAAGAUGCGAGUGUGAUUUGAAUUUGUGGAGACUACUUUCUUCUAUAUCUCCUGUUAUGAGUUACGAAAUAUUUAACUCUAUUAAAAGAGUUACAAAAAAAUAUGAAAAUAAGCUAUGUAGUAGAGAAUUACCAAAAUUAGGAAAAGGAGAUGCAAUUUUUUUCCCGGGGACGUUAGAAUGAGUGAGUGUGUUAAACAUACACGCAAUCCUUAGAAGUUUUGAGAGUGUUCAGCCGGUCCUUUCUCAUAUAGAAAAAGUAGAGAGAUAAUUGAAGCGUCCAUCAAAAUAAUGUCGAAAUACAAAACAUUUGGGAGGAGCUGAGAAUAAAAUUGGGCACUAUAUCCAAUUAGAGAACAACUAUUUAUUGGCAAUCCGUGAAAUUGGGCAAUGUGUCCAAUUAGAGAACAACUAUUUAUUUGCAAUCCGUGAACUUAAAAGAUUUGGCACAGGAUGUUGAGCUUUCUUAUUUAUACCAAAGCAAUAAUAACUAUCAACUUUGAAAGUAACUAAAAAUAAUAGGGGAUGCCCCGUCUGUAUGUAACUACAAAUAUUUCUAAUUCGUAACUGUAAUGUGUGUAUAGUGGGCUCCAUUAUGCCUACGUGGUAAUUCAUUAUUGGAUGCUGAUAUCACAUGUUAGUGUGUCACUCUUCCAAUGAAUCUUUUUUACAUUUUCAAAAAAUAAGGAAAACACAACAACAACAACAACAAAUUAGAAUCUCGAAAAGCAAUAGAGUAAAUUGCAUGAAGACCGAUACCAUGGAUUCAUCAGAGCCCCCGCAACAGAAAGUCUCCUGAGAUUCUUUGAGAAUUGAUCAAAGUUUGCAUAUGCACCUCUGGACAUUAAGGUUAGAUAUCCCAAAACAAAGAAAUAUAUCAACCCAUUCAUUGAUCAAUUAUUCCACUCCUACAAACCAAAGAAAAAAUAAAUAAUAACUGUUAACACAUUAAUAAAUAAGAGGAAGAAACUGAUAUCAAGAAAAGUUCACAACCCAAACACAUUCAAGUGGGUUCAGGUUCGCCUAAUCAAGUUCAAUGCAUAAAAAUACGAAAAGGAAAAUUUUGAAUGGAAGAGAAUAGACAACAAGUUAAUUAAUGUAUAAAAUAUUAAACCCAACACAGUCGGGGAAAACAAAAAGAAAGGAGAAAAAAGGAGGUUAUACCAAAUCCAUAUUGUAGAUCAACUUUCCUCAUCAAAAUAGCUUAAACACAGUUUCUCUAUAUAUAGUUGAAUCUCUCCCGUAAACAAUAAAUAGAAGAAAAGAAAAAACAAUGCGACCCAUUGAAUCAAAUAUCAAAUCAGCCUGUUAAUAGAAGACAAAAAAUGUGAAAAGUUUGAUAUACCUCACCCAGGUUGCUCUUUGUUUGUUUGGAUGGAACGUCAGUACUCAUUUCCCUUCUCAAUGAUAUGAUGAAUCAGGUUUCCUUUAGUUUUAAAUGAAAGAGAGGUGGGAUCAGGAGUUUUGGAGAGGUAGAAAAGAUGCCAAUGAGAGUGAAAAUAUGGAGGUUUUAUGGUUUUUUGAGAAUUUUUAAAAUUAACGAUAUAGUGCCACAUUCACUAUAUUUGCUUAGCAUAUAGGAUAAACAUAUAGAUUGUUUAGCUAUUUCACUAUCUUGUCAUGGUUUAUUUGAAAUUAAGAAUUCCAAACCCAAACCACACAGGAGCAAAAGAUAACAACACAAGGAAAGUUAUCAACCAACAUUCAUCCAUCACGUAUAAGAAGAAGAUUCAAAAUUCUAAAUUGAAACUCCAAAAAGGAGACAAAUGGUAAUAACGUAAGCAAAUCUAUCAACCACAACUCAUCCAACAGUAACACAGACUAAGAAGAAUAUCGCAAAUUCUGGAGUCAAACUAUACAAAAAAGAAAGAAUAACGGCAACAACAUCAGCAGAAUGAUAAAACAAGAUUCAUCCAAUAUUCCAAAAUUCCGGACCCAAACUACACAAAAGGAAAAAGGUAAGAACAUCAACAAAAUGAUCAGGAAAGGUUCAUCAAGCAGUUAUAAAACCAUUUAAAAAAUAGUUACAUCAUGCUAUGUAAAAUUUAGAAAUUACACCAUCACAAAUUUGUAAUCAAUAAACAUAACUCAAUACUCUUAAUUUACACUCAAAUCCCCGAAACUGAAUUAAGAUUUACACUUUUACCAGAUUUUAAAGCAGAAUCAUCCAAAACUUUGCUCUGAAAAUAUCUCUGGUGUCACGGAGAUAUAGAUUACAAUACUGAGAAGACCAAAGAAAAUUACAAUAUCAGAAUAAAAAAGGCCAAACUUAACCAAAUCACAUUAGUUGAAAGUAACUGAUUGUACCGUAAGAAAAGAAGUUUCACUAACGCAAACAAAAUGUGUUCCAAAAUCAAAUGGAAAUUAGGGCCUCCAACUUUACUGAACCCGAGAUAAUUUAGACAUAUCACAAAAUAGUUGGCUCAAAAUUCUAACUCAAAUAAUUACAAUCAAAUCAACAAAUUAUUUUCAACAAAAUCCUACUCUACCAAUGAUAUAACACAGUUCCAUCCCAUCUCCACCAAUCGUUACCCAUAUCUUCUUUAGGUAAGUCACUUCCAUAAUGUUACAAUACAAACAGUAUUAUAUUCAAAAACACAAAUAAAAUAAAAUAAAAUAAAUAAAAUCUUCGAAUCUUUGAGAGCGUUUUCAGAGUUUCACUGAGAGGGUUUCAGUGAGAGCCUUAAAGGAGUGAGAGAACUGAGAACCUUCAAAGAACAAACGAGCGAAAGUAGCUCACACUCGAAGGUAGAUAAUCAAACUAAUCAAGAAAAGCAAGGAAUUCACACAUUCGUCAAUCUCACCUUGAAUUGAUAAUUAAUCGAAUAACUUGAAGAAAAUUAGCGAUAGAUUAAACUAAGUUUUGAAACAAGAAGUUCUCACCAACACGAUGCAGAUCGGUUCAAAGCCGCUCAGUGAAACUCCGAAAACGCUUUCAAGAACCGAGAACCUUCAAAGAACGAACGAAAGAAAGUAGCUCACGAACUCGAAGACAGACAAUCAAACUAAUCAAGAAAAGCAAGGAAUUCACACAUUCGUCAAUCUCACCUUGAAUUGAUAAUUAAUCGAAUAACUUGAAGAAAAUUAGGGAUAUAUUAAACUUAGUUUUGAAACAAGAAGUUCUCACCAACACGGUGCAGAUCGGUUCUUGGAUUACUGAUCGCCCGGCCAUCGCCAUCUCUCUCGCACUGGCUCCUCUCGCUCUCUGCGCAAAAUAGCUUUCCCGAUAGAAUUGGGAGUAUUUAUACACAAUAAUUUGCGUUAGACCGCCAUUGUAGUUUGGAACUUUGGAUUGGGAUCCCGGCCCAUUGUUUUGAAAAGGAAACUUGAGUCCACGUCUUUUUAUCUAGUCCAUGAUUUAAAAAUUUUAUUAAAAAAGAAAAUAUUCAUAAUUAAUUUCUGCUCCAUUCCAUUUGUUGAAUAUAAAAUAUUU